rnacentral:lncRNA from 1 species
UCAUUACUGAUUUAGUAUAAACUUGGAAGUUCUUGAAAGAUUUCUAAACAUGAGGAUUUUUGGUUACUUCUAGCCCACUGAUGCUAAGAUCUCAAAAGAGGAGGAUCUUGAACACCUUGAAUCUGGAAAUUCCCAGAUAGAGAUGAAAUAUGAAGUUGCAGGAAAUGUAGUGGAUCAUGGCCAGAUAUGAAGAGGAAAUGGAUCUCAUUUUUGAAACUGAACUGUUUGGAGAAGACACCAUGAAGAUGCCUGUAGACCACAAGCUGCACGAGAAGAUCAAGAACAAACUUUGGGUGUGGUUGAUUGAACAUUUAUUUGUAUGUGUACUUUCAUGCCAAAGUGGACUGCCCCCUAACUGGCUUCCCUUUAAUACAACUAGGAAUUAUUUGUUUUGUUUUUCUCUUUUCAAAUUAUUGUAAUAUUUAAGUUGAUUGUGUUUUCAUUAUCCUUUUGGGGAAAAAAUUCCCAAAUGAUCAAAUGGUGAAAUGUAAAAAUGGAGAUUUGAACCCAGACUUCAAUCCCCAGAAGUCCUUGCUAGAGUGCCCUCUAGCCUCCCUGAAUCUCACCUGAGUGCAAGGUCACAAAUUGUAUUUAACCUGACUCUCAGCCUACUUUGGGUCUCUUUCUUCCUGCUUCCGCUUCCAAGCACACACUUCUCUCGAGAUGUAGUAUUAUGGUAUUAUGAAUCAAGAGAUUCUUGGCUGGUUUCAUAGAGUGUAACAACACACACAGAUAUCACUGAUGAUAGCUCUGCAGAAGAGCAAUGGUACUUUGAAACAAAGUGGACUUGUAUACUAUAACAAUAGUCCAGUUGAGAAAACCCUAUUGAUUUCCCCCCGUGUUCUCUCCUCUAACAUGGUCACCACAUUAGAGCAGACUCUCAUUACUUCAUGUUUAGACUAUUAAAAGAGCUUUCUGGUCAUUGUCUAAAUCCUUACCUAUU